rnacentral:rRNA from 1 species
UACGUAGGUGGCAAGCGUUGUCCGGAUUUACUUGGCGUAAAGAGCGCGCAGGCGGUCGUUCAAGUCGCGUGUGAAAGCCCCCGGCUCAACUGGGGAGGGUCACGCGAUACUGAUCGACUCGAAGGCAGGAGAGGGUAGUGGAAUUCCCGGUGUAGUGGUGAAAUGCGUAGAUAUCGGGAGGAACACCAGUGGCGAAGGCGACUACCUGGCCUGUUUCUUGACGCUGAGGCGCGAAAGCUAGGGGAGCGAACGGG